GCUAGCGGCAGGCCUAAUACAUGCAAGGUGAGCGGCAGUCGGGGUAGCAAUACUUUGAUGAGAGCGGCGCACGGGUGCGUAACGCGUAUGCAACCUUCCUUUUACAGGGGGAUAGCCCGGAGAAAUUUGGAUUAAUACCCCCUGGCACAUAUUGAGGGCAUUUGAGAUAUGUUAAAGAUUUAUCGGUAAGAGAUGGGCAUGCGUUUGAUUAGCUAGUUGGCGGUGUAACGGACCCCCAAGGCGACGAUCAGUAGGGGUUUUGAGAGGAAGGUUCCCCCCACUGGCACUGAGAUACGGGCCCGACUCCUUCGGGAGGCAGCAGUAGGGAAUAUUGGGCAAUGGUUGGAAGACUGACCCAGCCCUGCCGCGUGCAGGAAGAAGGCCCUUUGGGUUGUAAACUGCUUUUAUUUGGGAAGAAAAAGGCCCUGCGUGGCAAAUUGCCGGUACCAGAUGAAUAAGCCCCGGCUAACUCCGUG
rnacentral:rRNA from 1 species